AAAGAUUUCUCUGCUCUAUGCUCAUAGUUAAUUGAAGCCUUAAAAAGGACAAAGUCCAAAAUCACCACUUUUCAACAUUCAACAGCAAAGACUUGUGUGAAAGCUAAAAGCUUUCUACUUUGUUGUUUCAUAAUUUUCAUUUCCAGUUUUCGCCCUUCCCUUGAAGGUGUAACCAGCUCAUCUUUGGCCUGUAAUGGUAACUCUGUUCAUCAAGUUUUUCCUGAGAAUCUUAUCUUUCAUCCACAAAAAAAUAAAAAAGUAAACAUAAUUGCAAAUCCCAAUAAUGAACAAUGUCAUUGUGUCAGAGAUUUUAACUUUCUCCUCCUGUAUAUUCCCACAAGAUCUAUGUUUUUCUCUCCUUUUUAUUUACCUUUCAAACUUGCCAUUACAGUGGGUUUGUAUUAUCUUCUUCUUCAUGAUGAUGAUGAUGCAGAGCGUUUUUGGGUAGCUGCUUCAGUUUCCUCUGAACUACCAUUCUCUUUCUUUGCUCCUACUGUUUCCUCCAUCCUCUACCCUGUAGUCUUCUCUCUCUCUCUCUGAGUUGAGAUAUUCUCUUUCUAGACCUCACAUUUUCUAGAUUGGUUCGUCUCUUUUGCUCAUCUAAAAUCAGUUUUUUCUCCAUCAGAAAAUACCCAUUAUUGAGAACUGUGAUGGUCUUUGGCUCUUGUCUACUCAGGAGACCAUAAGUUUCAAAGCAUGUUCUUCUUUCUCUCUCAAGAAUACUAUAGACACAGAGCAUGAAAUGUGAAAGCUUUGUUUACUGGCUAUGAACAAAGUUUUCUUCUUUUAUCUACUCUGUUUAAUCCCACUGAAAGCUUUCAUCAAAGAACUGCCUUUCUAUAUCUUCCUGUCACAGUCCCACCAGUAAUAACUCUACAUUUAAUCAUUUUCUUCUCUUUUUUUCUUGAUAGACAGACAACAAGCUUAGAGAGAGAGAGAGAGAGUGUGUGCGCGCGCGCGCUUGUGUUUGUGUUCGUCUCUCUACUACCUUAAAAAACACAACAAUGGCCGCCUUUACCAACAUUCUCUUUCUUCUCUCCCUCCUUUUCACCACCACCUCCUCCACACUCCACCGUCAUCUCCUUCACCAACCCUUUUUCCCUCUUACUGCCACCGCCCCUCCUAUCCAACCUCCUUCUCCUUCUCCCCAAGCUCAACCUCUGCCUCAAACCCAACCAAAAUAUCCUUUCUCCACCACUCCCAACAUCCCACAAAAACCUUUCUUUCCUACCUUUCCCUCCCCUCCUCCUCCUCCUCCUCCUUCCGUUUCUACUCUACCCACUUUUCCGGCGAACAUUUCUUCCCUCCUCCUUCCCCACCCUCCCUCCCCUACCUCCCACCGCCAUCUCAUUAUUACCAUCUCCAUUUCCCUCUCUCUCAUCUUUACUGCUAUCCUUGCAGCUCUAUCUGCAUUCUUUCUCUACUCCCGCCGCCAGCACCACCACUACGCCAAGACCACCGAGAAAAUUUUACGAUCCGACAGCCUUCGUCUUUUCCCACCAAACACUAUCCCUUCCGACGGCUCUCCCAAGCCCCCCAAACUUCCACAUCGACCUGACGUUCCCAACACCAGCUCAGAGUUCUUGUAUCUGGGUACAUUAGUAAACUCUCAAAGUGGAAUAGAUGAUCAACAGAAGGUUACGAAUUCGAGCAAUGCUGGAGUCAAGAUUGGUGUAUCAUCCUCUCCAUAUCAUAAACUGGGUUCUCCAGAACUCAAACCACUGCCUCCAUUGCCCAGACAUAACUAUACGCCGAGUUAUAGAAGCGGAGAAGUGCUGGUUGGCUCAUGCAAGGAUGAUGAAGCUCAUACAGAUACAGAGGAAGAGGAGUUCUUUUCGCCUAGAGGGUCAUCUGGGCGAAAAGAGACGAUUCAAGAAAGUCCGGUUCGUGUGGGAUCGAGUUCUAGAAGAGAGCUUCAAGGUAUCCAGGGAGAGAAUUUUGGGUCUAGAAGUUUUAAUUCCAGAACUGCAUCAUAUCCAUAUUCGAAUUCUUGUUCUCCAGCAAAUUCUAUACCCACUAGUCCCUCUCCAGUGUCGAAUUUGAGUCCUAUAAGCACAAUAUCUAAAUCGCCGGAGACUAUCAUCAGCUUCCCUGCUCCAAUUCAGUCCGUAAAGCGAUCAACAUUAUCCAUUUCUUCGUCUUCUUCCCCGUCCUGUUCAGGGAGAGAUUCAGGUAAUACCCAGAACUCCCCGGAGCGAAAUUCAAGUAUUCUUGGCGAGAAUAACCUUUACCCGACGAGAGUCGAAAGUGUUGCUAAGCAAUUUGCACCUACAAAACUGCCGCCACCUCCUCCACCGCCUCCUCCUCCUCCGCGGUUUUGGGAGAUUCCUGUGGCGGUAAGACCGGCUCGGGAUAUGAAUAUGGGGAGUUUUGGGCCUCCGGUUCUUGUUACUCCUUCGAGGCCCGUUUUUAUUCAGAGUGGAAUACCAAUUUUAGCUAAUGAGCAAUCGCAGAGCACUGCAAGCUUUGAGAGGAGUGAGGAGACCCUGAAACCCAAAUUGAAGCCUUUACAUUGGGAUAAAGUUAGAGCGAGCUCGGAUCGGGUUAUGGUUUGGGAUCAGAUUAAAUCCAGUUCUUUUCAGUGAGAUUCUAAUACCCCUUUUAGCUUUUCAUGUUUUGAAAUGGAGUUUCUUUGUGCUUUGUUUGAUUUGAUUAAUUACUGUAUGCUUUUUAAGUUUGUAGAAUGUUGGUUUGAUUGCAGAUUAAAUGAGGAAAUGAUUGAGACUCUGUUUACUGUGAACAAUUCAAAUCUGAAUGUGAAAGACAAUAAUGCGCGGCGACAGUCUCUUCUGUUGCAGAACCAGGAGAAUCGUGUGCUUGAUCCCAAGAAGUCUCAGAACAUUGCAAUAUUGUUGAGGGCGUUAAACGUGACCAUUGAUGAAGUAUGCGAGUCCCUUUUGGAAGGUAAUGGCUUACCUCUGUGAGAGCUUUCUUCGAGUGCAAUAUUUUAUAUGCAAUGGUACCUGCUUUAAUGUUAUCACUAUGAUUUUUGAAUAUGUAGAUUAUUGCCCUUUCUAGUCUCCAAUAGUUUGAUGGAAAAUAACUUAUCUACAGCAAAAGGUUAGUUUCAAAUGUUUAGAGGUCAAAUCUUUGAGGCUUGAAAAGAUUCUGUGGAUUUGAUGGUGUUAAAUGCUUUAGAUAUAUGAUUAUUCUGUUAUACUGGUUUGACCAUGUACAAUCCUAUACAGUCAUAAUGUCAUUAUAUGCAUUAAUGGUGAUGAAACAAAGAAAUUUCUUUGUAAACCCUGAAUUCUUGAUUGCUUGUGAAAAAAAAGAGGAGUGUUUUUGUUCAUUGUAUGAAGAUGUUCAUGAAUAAAGGAAACAUUUCAGUUUUCAAUUCAUUGGGGCAAGCUUGUUCUGAAAAGUGGAAUAUUAUCUGUCAUUUGUAACAUUUUCCAUUUAACACUGAAAAUGAAACACUUCUGCUUCAUGCCCUUGUUUUGGACUUUGUAUAAGGCUACAAAGAUAAUAUCUCUUUCUCACCACUCAAAUGAAUGAAACUAAAAGCAAUGCAUCUUUCUCUUAAUCUCUGAAGUCUAAACAAUGCCUAAUGGGUUUGAUAUUCUUCUUCGUCUAAAAUUCGGGCCAUCUCCAAUAUUAUUAAUUUGUCUCUAAAUUCUGAUAUGACAGGCAACUCAGAUGCAUUAGGAACAGAGCUUCUGGAGAGUUUAUUAAAGAUGGCACCAACUAAAGAAGAAGAGCGCAAACUAAAGGAGUUCAAGGAUGAGUCACCAUUUAAGCUUGGUCCUGCAGAGAAGUUUCUCAGAGCAGUGCUUGAUAUUCCUUUUGCAUUUAAGAGGGUCGAUGCUAUGCUUUAUAUUGCUAAUUUUGAUUCAGAAGUUGAAUACCUCAAAAGGUCUUUUGAAACCUUGGAGUCAGCUUGCGAAGAAUUGAGAAACAGCAAAAUGUUCCUGAAGCUUUUAGAAGCAGUGCUGAAGACUGGGAACCGCAUGAAUGUUGGUACAAACCGUGGCGAUGCCCAGGCCUUCAAGCUUGACACGCUCCUUAAGCUGGUUGAUGUCAAGGGGACUGAUGGGAAAACUACUCUCCUGCAUUUUGUUGUUCAGGAAAUUAUCAGAUCUGAAGGUUCUCGCAUUUCCGGUGUAAAUGAGAAUCAAACAGCUGAGAAAACUCAACAAUCCACUUUCCAGGAUGAUGUUGAAUUUAGGAAGCUUGGCCUGCAAGUUGUUUCAGGUUUGAGUGGAGAGCUCACAAGUGUAAAGAAAGCUGCAGCAAUGGAUUCAGAUGUGCUUAGCAGUGAAGUUGCAAAACUGGCCAUGGGAAUUACAGAAGUCUGGGAAGUUAUUAAAUUAAAUGAGGAAAUUGCAUUGAAGGACAGCAGCAGGAAGUUCUCAGAUUCAAUGAAUGGAUUCUUGAAGAUGGCAGAGAAUGAAAUUGUCAGGAUUCAAGCACAAGAGAAACUUGCUCUCUCAUUGGUGAAGGAAAUAACUGAGUAUUUCCAUGGGAACUCAGCUAAAGAAGAAGCUCAUCCGUUCCGUAUAUUUAUGGUGGUAAGGGAUUUUCUUUCCAUUCUUGAUCAGGUAUGCAAAGAAGUUGGAAAGAUCAACGAGAGAACUAUAUACAGUUCUGUCCGUUCAAUGCCGAUAAACUCAAACCUUCCACCAGUUUUUCCUGGAUUCAAUGGAAGACAACAUGAUGGAAGACAAUGAUGAAAAUUCAUUGUCUUAGUAUUGAUCUCCACCGCAGGUGAGAAUGCACUUCUGCUGAAGCUCUCACUGAGAUGCCUAUCAGAAAAUCAGUGGCACACUGAGAUGCCUAUCAGAAAUCUUACAAGAUUUUGGAUUUUGUUUAUUUUGUGUAAUAUACCAAAGGAAUUAUGUCAGGACAUAAUAAAGUAGUAAUGCCAAAAUAGGUAGAAUCUGUCUUUGUAAAUUGUUGGAAGCUGAAUUCAGGCCUUAAUUGUUCCUGUAAAUCUUUUAGAAGCUGAAUUGAAGUCGCAUCUUGUUCAAUUUCAUUAGCAUUAAAUAUGGCCGUUGUUUUGUUUCUAGUCUCAUCAUCUCUGCUUGGAACAAUCAUUCCAAUUUGAAAAAAUUUUAGGAAAAUUU
rnacentral:misc_RNA from 1 species